rnacentral:lncRNA from 1 species
CCAAGGUCAUAAGCGAAGGAUACUCAUUCCUUUUACUAGAGAAUCAAGCCCACAAUCACCCAAGGCAUUACUCAUAACUUUGACAUACACAUGGUCAUUAUGAACAAGACUAAUAUCAUGGCUUUCAGCCCACAAGUUCAAAGGACCAUAUUCAUUAUCUAGAUCAACAUUACAAGCAUCAACAGUAACUUGAAAAUUUUUAAUCAUACCAUUUACAUGUUCAAGUAGUGAGCUAUUCUUAGGAUCACAUUGAUCAUUAUACACACCCGAAAUACUACCAAGGAAGGAUACUUGUACUUCUACACUAUCUAUACCCAAAACCACAUCAACUUGGCUACUAAUAUCCAUAUCACAACUUUUUAAACUUAAGGGAGUGUAAAGUGUACCAAUUUUACCUUGGUUUGUACUAGGGCAGCCUACUUGGAUUGAAUUCUCGGCCAAGAAUGCAAUUGGAACACCAACAUGUUUGGGAUGGAUUUCUUUUGGAUUCUCCUUUGGGAAUAUAUCAUCUUUUAUAUGCACAUAAGAAGAAUCAAUUCUAGGCAAAAUGCUAGCACUUGGAUUAGUGAGUAACAAGGGUUCUUUGUGUACAAAAUCCACAAUCAAGCAUUUUUUCCCCUUUCAACUUCACUACCCAUGGAUUCCCUUUCGCUUUCCCUCUUUUCUUUACAUUCUUCUUGUACCUCACCAUCAAAUUUCUCUCUAUCUUGAGGCUUGGCCUCAUUCUCCUCGGAGUCUAACUCUUCCUUUUUUUAUACUUGGACGGGGUAUUUCCGGGUUAGUGUAGCUUGGGAAGGAGACAUUCGAUUUAGUGGAGUGUAGGGUCUUUGAAUUAGAGGAUUUUAGAGUAGAGAAAUCAGGUUUAGGGAUGGAAUUUUGGUUCCAAAUCCUCUUUGUGGAACUUGGUGGAGUGAGGAACGACUAAGUCCAUCUUCUUCUCGGCUUUGGGAGUAAAGAUUGACUUGGUUUGUAGCACUUGGUGGAUACAAUCAUUGGUGCAAGGUCUUGGGAGUAAUAGUAGGUGAGAUGUUUUGAGGGGUAUGAGGUUGAGAACUCCUUUGUCUUUCCACCCUCUUCAACCUUUCA